rnacentral:lncRNA from 1 species
UAAAUGAACAAUCAAUUACUACAAACAUAAAACUAGACACCAUGAACAAUCAAUUACAGCUGCAAUGAAAGGUCGUCGAACACCAUGAACGCCGGCAAGCAUAAAAAGAUAAUAACUAGCAAGACAUCCAAUAUCAUCCACAAAAGAUAAUAACUAGCAAGACAUCCAAUAUCAGAGCAAAUCAAACAAAAUAAAACUAAAACAGAUUUUCCCCCAACAAAAUAGAACACCAAAUCAACCAAAUUUAAAAAAUAAAUCAACAUUAAAGUCCAAAUCAAACUGAGAUGGCACCAUGAACAGAUUACAAAACCGAUUAGAUAAAAUAUAUUUCAAACACAGAACCAGUAAUGAAACUCCAAAUCUGAACAUUAAAAGAAGCAGUUCAAGAUUUGGUUUAUGGAGAAAAUGAACAGGAAUAAACAAAACCAGAUCAACGAAUCCCUCUUCCACAAACCCAUUCCCAGAAAAGCCACCAAGAUCUGAAACCCCAAAUAGCCCCAAGCAACCGCCGCUGCAGAUCAUAACUUCAAAAUCCAGAUAAACCCCCACACGAUCUAAAGCCACCAGACUUUGUUAUGAAUAGAUCGGAAAUCAGAUUUUCGGGAAAGUCCUAGAUUAGCCGCCUAGCAUGAAACGAAUAAACUCGUUAGCGAAAGAGAUGAGGAAAUAAUUUUAGAGAGAAAUGAGAUUCUGAGAACUUACACGAUGCGAGGUUUCAUUUGAUGAAGAGCGAAAGUGUGGUUGACUGUUUCAGUUGAUGAAGAAUUGAAGAGCGAGAGGCCGAGAGUGAUGAAGAGCCAGAUCUUUUCGGCUCUCGUUCUCUCUUUCUCUCUCUGGAUAUAUAGUGACUGAUAGUAGUAUAGUUUUUACCAGGUCUAGACAGUCUAGAUAUUCGUGGACUACACAGUCGGCGACUCGUCGUUGUCUCUUUGAGGACUCUUAGUCUCUCGCUCUCAGUUUUAGAUCUGAAUCUGAUCUCAAAAAAGCCUUUUAUUUUAUUAUGCCUUUAUUGCCUUAGCCAAAGCCGGUU